rnacentral:rRNA from 1 species
GACGAACGCUGGCGGCGUGCCUAAUUCAUGCAAGUAGAACGCUGAAGGAGGAGCUUGCUCUUCUGGAUGAGUUGCGAACGGGUGAGUAACGCGUAGGUAACCUGCCUGGUAGCGGGGGAUAACUAUUGGAAACGAUAGCUAAUACCGCAUAAGAGUAGAUGUUGCAUGACAUUUACUUAAAAGGUGCAAUUGCAUCACUACCAGAUGGACCUGCGUUGUAUUAGCUAGUUGGUGGGGUAACGGCUUACCAAGGCGACGAUACAUAGCCGACCUGAGAGGGGGAUCGGCCACACUGGGACUGAGACACGGCCCAGACUCCUACGGGAGGCAGCAGUAGGGAAUCUUCGGCAAUGGACGGAAGUCUGACCGAGCAACGCCGCGUGAGUGAAGAAGGUUUUCGGAUCGUAAAGCUCUGUUGUAAGAGAAGAACGAGUGUGAGAGUGGAAAGUUCACACUGUGACGGUAUCUUACCAGAAAGGGACGGCUAACUACGUG